GCCUGGAGGAUGGAGGUGGUUAGAUCAGCUGCUGAGGCCUGAGGAUAGUUCUAGCAGCAUCAUUGAGAACCUCCUCAAAGUGGAUGCUGUUCAAGACAGUACAGGGUUUUAUCUUCUCUCGAAUGCAUAUGGACGCACAGCAAGCAAGCAGCGAUACCACACUUCCCUGGUCAUUGAACAUCCUGCAGUGUACUCCUUAAUUAAAACCAGCAUCGCCAAGAUGAUUGCUUAAGUACCCAAAACCUGGCUGCUUAAUGGCCAAUCAGAGAACUACAUGAUCAUUAAAUCCAUUUGGAACCAC